CAGUGACCCCUCAGCUGCUUAUACUUGGGCAGGAAGUGGUGGCCCUGGCACUGCAGAGGUUAAGCCGCUGCUGAUCACAGCCACUCACAACUUUUUAGUGUUUACACAUUUCCGUGUUGUCACCAUUUCCUUUCUUCUCCCACAAGCUGUUAAACUAUCUCCCUUUCUGUCGCCCCCCCCCCCCGACCAUGGAUGAGCCCGAUCACGCGAGUGAAAGCCGCACUCCUGCUCCAGCCCUGAGGAGCGCACUUAUCCCGGGAAAAGAGUUCCUGUGCUCGCGUAAGGGUCAGCUGCUGCUGGCAGAAUGGGUUGUUUCUUUUCUCACCUUCAUUUGUUAUGCGGCAUCGACUGCAGUUGGUCUCAUGACUGUACCACUCAUAGAAUUCCUCUGGGCUCUCUUUACAUUCUACGCCUAUUCUUUAAAAUACAAUGAACAGUUAAAGGGAAUUCUUUGGCCUCUUCUGGAUUUUAUCCGUUGUGUGUCAGCUGCCAUCAUUUACUUUGUGGUGUCUCUUGUGGCUGUGUCGAAAUACACAUGUGGGGCAUCCAAAGCUGCUGCGGUAUUUGGCUUUAUUGCCACUAUUAUAUUUGCAAUUGAUUUCUACAUGAUCUUCAAUGAGCUGACCAAGUUUCUUAAAAAAGAAGAUUCCACCGAGGAUCCAGAAAGACAAAAAUCAGAGGCUUCCAGCCAACAAAGUAAGAUCUGAGAGACUGUGAUAGCAAGGCACUUUGCAGUAAUGAUGCAACCUGUAUUGACUGAGAAGACACAGUUUAAUAUAGACAGCUGUGCAUUUUGGAUUGUUUUGAAAUGAAGCACAAUUUGCAAUGUACUACAGCUUUAAAUAAAGAGGAAGUACUGCAACCACAGUAAUGCAGCUGUAUCAUACAAGCCUGAUGAAGACUCGUUUUCUGAUUCGGACUGACCAAGGGCAGUUGCACAGCAGAACAGAUAACACAGGAGAAUCUGCACAGCAGUUUCUUUGGAAAGGAUUAUUUCAAGACCUGAAACAUGUCUGCCUUCUGGAAUGUGAUUGGUCAAGGAGGUUGCCUUUUGAGUGAACAUUAACUCUUAUUCAUCUAAAAAGGAACAUACUCCUUUAUAACAUGGACCACUUUAAGGAGACUGGAGGCACACAGACUGCAAAGUGGAAAAUCCUUUUUUUUUUAAAUUGGCAGAAAUGCCCUAAGUGUUGGUGGGACGCUAUGAAUCGAAGGUGAUAAUGGCAGCCUACUUUUAAAAUGUUUUGUUGGUAAGAGCUGAGUAUGGACCUGAAACUCGGCCCUUGUUACAGGAAGCCUACUUUUCAGUAUUGCGCGUUAACUUUUUACUGUGACUAAAAAUAAAGCCUCAGUUUAUACAACA